rnacentral:rRNA from 1 species
AUGAACGCUAGCUACAGGCUUAACACAUGCAAGUCGAGGGGCAUCAGGGUGUAGCAAUACACCGCUGGCGACCGGCGCACGGGUGAGUAACACGUAUCCAACCUGCCCUUUACUCGGGGAUAGCCUUUCGAAAGAAAGAUUAAUACCCGAUGGUAUAACAUGACCUCCUGGUUUUGUUAUUAAAGAAUUUCGGUAGAGGAUGGGGAUGCGUUCCAUUAGGCAGUUGGCGGGGUAACGGCCCACCAAACCUUCGAUGGAUAGGGGUUCUGAGAGGAAGGUCCCCCACAUUGGAACUGAGACACGGUCCAAACUCCUACGGGAGGCAGCAGUGAGGAAUAUUGGUCAAUGGGCGAGAGCCUGAACCAGCCAAGUAGCGUGAAGGAUGACCGCCCUAUGGGUUGUAAACUUCUUUUAUAUGGGAAUAAAGGGUGCCACGUGUGGCAUUUUGUAUGUACCAUAUGAAUAAGGAUCGGCUAACUCCGUGCCAGCAGCCGCGGUAAUACGGAGGAUCCGAGCGUUAUCCGGAUUUAUUGGGUUUAAAGGGAGCGUAGGUGGACAUGUAAGUCAGUUGUGAAAGUUUGCGGCUCAACCGUAAAAUUGCAGUUGAAACUGCGUGUCUUGAGUACAGUAGAGGUGGGCGGAAUUCGUGGUGUAGCGGUGAAAUGCUUAGAUAUCACGAAGAACUCCGAUUGCGAAGGCAGCUCACUGGACUGCAACUGACACUGAUGCUCGAAAGUGUGGGUAUCAAACAGGAUUAGAUACCCUGGUAGUCCACACAGUAAACGAUGAAUACUCGCUGUUUGCGAUAUACAGUAAGCGGCCAAGCGAAAGCAUUAAGUAUUCCACCUGGGGAGUACGCCGGCAACGGUGAAACUCAAAGGAAUUGACGGGGGCCCGCACAAGCGGAGGAACAUGUGGUUUAAUUCGAUGAUACGCGAGGAACCUUACCCGGGCUUGAAUUGCAACUGAAUGAUGUGGAGACAUGUCAGCCGCAAGGCAGUUGUGAAGGUGCUGCAUGGUUGUCGUCAGCUCGUGUCGUGAGAUGUUGGGUUAAGUCCCGCAACGAGCGCAACCCCUAUUUCCAGUAGCCAGCAGUAAGAUGGGCACUCUGGAGAGACUGCCGGGGAUAACCCGGAGGAAGGUGGGGAUGACGUCAAAUCAGCACGGCCCUUACGUCCGGGGCUACACACGUGUUACAAUGGGGGGUACAGAAGGCCGCUACACAGCGAUGUGAUGCCAAUCCCUAAAGCCCCUCUCAGUUCGGAUCGAAGUCUGCAACCCGACUUCGUGAAGCUGGAUUCGCUAGUAAUCGCGCAUCAGCCACGGCGCGGUGAAUACGUUCCCGGGCCUUGUACACACCGCCCGUCAAGCCAUGGGAGCCGGGGGUACCUGAAGUACGUAACCGCAAGGAGCGUCCUAGGGUAAAACUGGUGACUGGGGCU